rnacentral:rRNA from 1 species
GACGAACGCUGGCGGCGUGCCUAACACAUGCAAGUCGAACGAAGCACUUUGAUCGAUUUCUUCGGAUUGAAAUUUUAGUGACUGAGUGGCGGACGGGUGAGUAACGCGUGGGUAACCUGCCUCACACAGGGGGAUAACAGUUGGAAACGGCUGCUAAUCCCGCAUAAGCGCCCAGUACCGGCUGGUACAGUGUGAAAAACUUCGGUGGUGUGAGAUGGACCCGCGUCUGAUUGACUAGUUGGCAGGGUAACGGCCUACCAAGGCGACGAUCCGUAGCCGACCUGAGAGGCUGACGGGCCACAGUGGGACUGAGACACCGCCCAAACUCCUACGGGAGGCAUCAGUGGGGAAUAUUGCACAAUGCGGGAAACCCUGAUGCAGCGACGCUGCGUGAGCGAAGAAGUAUUUCGGUAUGUAAAGCUCUAUCAGCAGGGAAGAAGAAAUUACGGUACCUGACUAAGAAGCACCGGCUAAAUACGUGCCAGCAGCCGCGGUAA